UAAAGAUCUCAAACAAAUCAAAUAUGAAGAUGCAGGAUAUGCAAAUCAUGAAUUCAUAUGAAUGUUUAUGUAUAUGUAUAUAUGGUGAUUACGCUGACAAAACAAUCACGGAGGAUACAAAAGUGUCACAAAGAAAUUGAACCUCCAGUACAAUCCUCAGUCAAUCCACAAAAAUCAUGGAGACAAACUGUUGGACAAAAGAGAGAUCAACAUCCC
rnacentral:lncRNA from 1 species